GCUCCAACAAGUCAUUCGAUUUCGUUAAUCAUGUAUUUGGUGAAAGGGGUUAGCAUUUGAUACAAAUGGAAUAGCUUAUCCUUGUUAUUUUAUUAGCUCAGCUGUUUUUGGAGAAAACCAAAGCUAUUGUCAUUGCCAGCUCGUCGUCCACCGUCAGCCGUCCGAAGUAGGCGUUGUGCUAAAACCUUAACAUUGGCUCUAAAAUCAAAGUGCUUCCAUCUACAACUUUGAAACUUCAUAUGUAGAUGCACCUUGAUGAGUUCUACACGCCACACUCAUUUUUGGGUCACUAGGUCAAAGGUCAAGGUCACUGUGACCUCUAAUAUAAAACUUUAACAUAGGCUCUAAAAUCAAAGUGCUUCCACCUACAACUUUGAAACUUCAUAUGUAGAUGCACCUUGAUGAGUUCUACACGCCACACCCAUUUUUGGGUCACUAGGUCAAAGGUCAAGGUCAUUGUGACCUCUAAAAAAAAAUU